GCACACUAGCCGCCAACUUCGGCGUUCACUGGCGUUUUUUGCCGCAAGAGCCCUGAACGCCUGAAAAAUCCCUAGUCUGCUACGAACGGCGUCGGCGAACGCGACUUGCCGCCACUUGCCGCAACGGUAGUCUGACAGUUAGUUUGUUUUAUUUGACCCGUCAGCUUUAAUAAGCAAUGAAUGAGCAUGAACAUGAUGAAAGACUAACAGGAAUAUUCAUCUGAUUUCCAGUUUCGCCUUGAUUGGCGGCCGCGACAGUUAUGGACAAAGCCGAGAAGGAGCCUUUCGACCCGUCCGUCGACGAUGAGGGCGGUGGAGCGGGUUCAGACGGGGGCUCGGAAUUGGGAGAUGAAAACAAGGAAAGAGGAAAUUGGGGGAAGCAGAUAGACUUCUUAUUCUCUUGUAUUGGAUAUGCUGUUGGACUUGGGAAUAUCUGGAGGUUUCCUUAUCUCUGUAUGAGAAAUGGAGGAGGUGCUUUCCUUAUCCCGUACUUCAUAUUUCUGUUUAUUGGGGGAGUCCCUCUGUUCUACAUGGAGCUGGCAAUGGGACAGUUCUCCAGCCGCAGCCCCUUGGCGGUCUGGGACUUGUGUCCGCUAUUCAAAGGUAUUGGCUGGGGAAUGACUAUAAUAUCGUGCUUCUUCAGCAUCUACUACGAAGCGGUCAUCACCUGGGUAAUCUACUACCUGGGAAUGUCCUUCCAGAACCCACUCCCCUGGUCGCACUGCAACAACACUUGGAACACCGACAGAUGCGUCACUCGAGGGGGCAAGGCCCAGCUUAACUCGACCAACGAAACUGAGUUAGCAGCGAAUAUAUAUGGAACUGGAGUCAUUAGUUACAAUUUCACUAAAGACCUCGGUAAUAUGACGUCAAAUGCGACAGCAAAAGCAAUGACGUCGGUUGAGGAAUUCUGGCAGUAUAACACUCUUGAGAUGACAGAAGACAUUGGGACGAUGGGAGGACUAAGGUGGCAACUAGUCCUAUGCCACAUCGUCGGAUGGACCGUGGUGAUACUUUGUGUUCUCAGGGGAAUCAAGACUUCAGGGAAGGUGGUGUACGUCACGGCAACAGUCCCCUACAUCUUUCUGACCAUCCUUCUCAUAAGAGGAUGUACUCUACCAGGUGCUGCUGAUGGUGUCUUGUACUAUAUAAGACCAAACUGGAGUAAACUAGGAGAAUUUCAGAUCUGGACGGAGGCGUGUAUGCAGAUAUUUUACUCUCUUGGACCAGCCUGGGGUGGUCUUAUAACCAUGUCUAGUUACAACAGAUUCAAUAACAACAUUUUCAGGGAUUCAAUGAUGGUGCCUGUGAUCAACUCCUUCACCAGCUUCUUCGCGGGUUUCGUCGUCUUCUCCGUGAUCGGGUUCAUGGCGAAUGAGGCUGGCUUACCCGUGGAAGAUGUCAUCACCUCAGGGCCUGGCCUGGCCUUCGUGGCUUACCCCGAGGCCAUCAGCAAUCUACCCUUCUCCCCGAUAUGGUCCGUCCUCUUCUUCAUCAUGCUGCUGACCAUUGGAUUGGACAGCCAGUUUGCGUCCUUCGAGACCUUGGUGAGCGGCAUAGUGGAUGAAUUCCCUCAUCUCUUCCGAGGAAAGAAGUUCUUCGUGAUGAUCGGCGCUGGGAUCUUUGAGAUGUUCAUAUCUCUUAUAUUCUGUACCAGAGCGGGUAUCUAUCACUUCCAAAUAUGGGAUUGGUACUCCGCUGCUUUCUCGGUAGUCACCAUCGCCGUGUUGGAGUGUUUUGUUGUCUUCUAUCUUUACGGUGGCAAACGAUUUCUCUAUGAUAUCAAGAUGAUGUUAGGAUACACCCCAAGUAUAAUUUGGAGAAUACUGCUAGGAGGAGUCACACCUAUACUCAUGUUCGGCUGUCUCUUGUAUGCCAUCGUAAAGUUCGACUCUCCCAAGUAUGGGGAGUACGAAUAUCCAAUCUGGGCAAAAGGUAUGGGCUGGGCUCUUGCCCUUUGCUCCAUGGUACCAAUACCGACCUUCAUCAUAUACCGAUUAGCGAGAGAAAGAGGGACUUUUAUUCAAAGACUAAAACACUCGGUAAAGCCUACGCCAGCGUGGGGUCCAAUGGUUGAGAAGAACAGGAAAGGUUACAUUUACGAUCAGAAUUAUCGUGAACAGGAGCUGACAUCAAUGACAGAAAAACAAAACCACGUGUAACAGUAAUGACUGGAAAUGGCUCACAGUAGUGACGGAAUAAGAUUCAUCUCCGUCACGAAGUUCUAACGUUGCUCGCUGUUGCUGGGGGUUAAGAUGGUAGCUGCACUGACCUCUGCUGGCAAACGUGCAGAAAGUCUGCCAGAACUUGAAUCAUGGCCUUUUUAAUAGCACAAGGAGGAUACGGGAAGUGGGUAAGGGCGAGUUUAUACGGCGUGUGAAGAGUUUGAGUCGAGCUUGGGACAGGUCCUGUACACAUCUCCUACUUAUCCCCCUGUCAUGUUGUUGUUAUUUCAUUAUUGUACCGUUUAUUGCUAGUUUUUGUGAGUCUUCAUUUAUCCUGAGGAAGACACGGUAGUGUCACAAGUUCGACUCAUUAAAAUCGAAAAAAAUGGUAUCAAGCUCCUCUUUCCAAUAAUGUAGCGUCGUAUUCUAAAACACCCGCGUGAGAAUAUUUCAUUUUCAUAAUGAACAAUGUAUAUAGCCUCGUUUUCACCACAGAGGUUUGGGUGAGAUAACGCAAACCGCUUGGGUUGGUGCCACAUGUAGAAGCAUUUCAAAAGCAUUUAAAACCACAUUGUUCGAUAUUUAAUUUGAGAUGUUUUAGAAUAGAAAUCGAUACCUCACUGUCGGUACUGAUUAUCUCACCCAAACCGCUCGGGUGGAACUAAAAUAUUGGCCAAAACCUCGGCUACGCCUCCAGUUCCGUAUCAAUAGCAUGCCGCGAAGUUACUAUUUAUAGCUCACAAGAUCAUUUGCAUAAGAUAUUGAUGACGUUUUAGUCACGUGACAGGCGGACAUCGACACUUAUUUCUACGCAUUUGAGCUUAUUCCAAAGUAAAUUAUCUUUGACCCUGCAUUGUUUUUAGCAUGAAUGAUACCAUAGAGUCAGAGAGAGAAAUAUUCAGAACAAUUAUGUAGUAUUUCCAACACUCGGACAUGUGCCAGAUUGAAUCUAACUGCCCAAGUCAGAAAGCCUGAAUCCAUUACGAAACCGCAUUUUGUCCGACAUUGCCUGUAAUUCAGCGAUGGGGAAAUAGAGGGCAGCAGCUGCAGUGACGUCAUCUUCGCGGAAUGCUAUUCCUUAAGCCAAUCGGCGCGUGUUGUGCAUCAUGGUCAAAAGCGACCACAAAAAACGAAUACAGCGCCUCUCUGAGAGAGGCUGGAUCCAUCAGUCCUUGUUUGCUGCUUGGAGGUUGGUUUGUUGUAGAGUGUGGCUUUAUGAUGGAUAAAGUUAUAUCGUCGCCAUUCGUGCGUUUGCAUAUUCCAGAUCCAUUAACAAGCUCCAUUCUUUGCAUGAUAUAGACAAGGAGCUAGAUGGCAAAGGGAAGCUAAAUUACCUCUAAAUUUGGGUCAACGUGAAGGCAGGAGACUCUGUUUAAAAUCAAAGAGAGCGAAGAUACAUAGGUUGUGUAUGUUAGAUCAUUACUAAAGUUAGUCAUCCAUUUUUAUACAUGUGUUUUUGUUCUGCUGAAACCUAUUUUGCCUGAACGCAGCAGGCUACUUAUGUAUCAAAACACUGUGUAUUGUAUAUGUUAGAUAAUAAUGUUUAGACGACGUCUAUUUGAACAAUUAGCACCUUAUAAAUGUAGUUCUCUAACUGAAUGUAUAUAUGUAUAAAUAUCAGAAAAUAGGUGUAAGGGUUUUAAUCGAAAUCUUGCAUGGAAUUGGUCAAGUGUCAUUUAAUUGAUUGAAGAGGUUGCUGAAGACAAUGCUGUUUAAGAAACAUUUCUUUGAGGGGGGGGGGGGCUUGAUCACAUCAAACGAUGAAAAGGCGCCGUAUAUAAAUCCGUAUAUUACGUUAUAUUAUGUAACUUUUAAAUGGGGGGGGGCUCUUAAAAACGCCAUGUAAUUUGAAUUUUGGAACUUAAUUUUAGGAAGUAAAUCAUCAUACGAGCAAAAAACAUUUUAUUCCGACGAGACUCGAACCUGCGGCAUUCGAUGAUCGAAGGCCACGAGAUUAUCACCCUUUGUUGAU